UGGGGAAUAUUGGACAAUGGGCGCAAGCCUGAUCCAGCAAUGCCGCGUGUGUGAAGAAGGCCUUCGGGUUGUAAAGCACUUUUAUCAGGAGCGAAACGCUGUCGGCUAAUACCCGGCGGAACUGACGGUACCUGAGGAAUAAGCACCGGCUAACUUCGUGCCAGCAGCCGCGGUAAUACGAAGGGUGCAAGCGUUAAUCGGAAUUACUGGGCGUAAAGCGUGCGUAGGCGGUUUCUUAGUCUGCUGUGAAAUCCCCGGGCUCAACCUGGGAAUGGCAGUGGAUACUGGGAGGCUAAGUGUGUCAGAGGGUGGUGGAAUUCCCGGUGUAGCGGUGAAAUGCGUAGAGAUCGGGAGGAACAUCAGUGGCGAAGGCGGCCACCUGGGACAACACUGACGCUNAGGCACGAAAGCGUGGGGAGCAAACAGGAUUAGAUACCCUGGUAGUCCACGCCCUAAACGAUGCGAACUGGAUGUUGGUCUCAACUCGGAGAUCAGUGUCGAAGCUAACGCGUUAAGUUCGCCNCCUGGGGAGUACGGUCGCAAGACUGAAACUCAAAGGAAUUGACGGGGUCAU
rnacentral:rRNA from 1 species